AGAGUUGAUCCUGGCUCAGGAUGAACGCUGGCGGCGUGCUUAACACAUGCAAGUCGAGCGAAGUUAAAGAGCUUGCUUUUAAACUUAGCGGCGGACGGGUGAGUAACGCGUGGGUAACCUGCCCUGUACAGAGGAAUAACAGUUAGAAAUGACUGCUAAUGCCUCAUAAGCCGACGGAAUGGCAUCUUUUUGUCGGAAAAGAUUUAUCGGUACAGGAGGGACCCGCGUCUGAUUAGCUAGUUGGUGAGGUAACGGCCCACCAAGGCGACGAUCAGUAGCCGACCUGAGAGGGUGAUCGGCCACAUUGGGACUGAGACACGGCCCAGACUCCUACGGGAGGCAGCAGUGAGGGAUAUUGCACAAUGGAGGAAACUCUGAUGCAGCGAUGCCGCGUGGAGGAAGAAGGUUUUCGGAUUGUAAACUCCUGUUUCGAGGGACGAUAGUGACGGUACCUCGGGAGGAAGCUCCGGCUAACUACGUGCCAGCCGCCGC
rnacentral:rRNA from 1 species